rnacentral:misc_RNA from 1 species
AUAAAUUAUAAAAAUCCCAUUGAUAAAAUUAGUAAACACAAAGUAUUUCAACUUUUAAUUAACCUUUAAAAAUAGACCAAACUUAAUUAAAUAAAGAAGAUUACAUGAUCUUCAUGCAUGCUCCAACUCUUUUGCAGCAUCUCUCUUAUUCAAAUACAGCAUCCUAAACAUAAAAAGACUAUAUUCACACUUAAAAGACAUCACUUUCCAAGAACAAUACAACAAUAUAUAACAUAAGAAACUAGUUAACCUUAUUGCAUUUCUUCCUAAUUUCUCCUUUAGAUCCAGUCAGUGGGUCAAUAUCACCCAUCUUGAUCAUUGCAGCAGCAAAGUCAGAAUUGAAGGUUUUUGGAUUGCUGCUGUAUUUUCUGACCAAAGAAUCUGUAGAUCCACCAUUAAACAGAACUUGAUCAGAGUGGAGGAGACCCUUUUGGUUGAGGAGGUUCUUGUAGUAAUCGUUGUCAAAAGCAGUAGGAGUUUGGACGUCUAAAGGUGCUAAGUUGUUGUCUCCUGAGCCUGUAGGAAGUGGGCAGUUCUUUUGCCUUGUGCUAGCAAAUGAACUGUCAAUAUUAGUAUCGUUGUAUAUGCGAGCCCUGAAAAUUACACACCUUGCUUGACCAAUUGUGUGGGAUCCAGACAAAGCAACCAUGUCCUUGGCAGAGAGGCCUUUGGCUUGAAAGCGAUUGAUGAGAUUGCUGAGGGUAGAAGUGGGAGGAGGGAUAACACCACUAUUAGCUGCAGAAAAGCUUGCUGUCUUUGAGUCCCUUCUUCCAAGCUUAACAUUCCAAUUUGGUCCUCCAAGAAUAACAGUAGAAUCGCGAGCAGCAAUAGCGACAAUAUCAGCACAGGAGACAAUGCCUGGGCAAACUUGCUCCACCUUAGCCUUUAUUUUAUUUAUAACAUUGAAUCCUCUGACUGAAUUGUUAUUUGGACCUGCUGUCUGCUCUCCUCUGAAAGAAGAAGUGUCUUCUAGGAGUAUAGACCCAUCACACCCAUUGACAAAACAGUCAUGGAAGAGGAGACGAACAAGAGAAGCACCCAUGCGCCGCUCUUUCGACACUGCAUCUUCAACAACAGAUUUCACAGUGCUGAAAAGCUUUGGACAACUUUUUGAGUAAAAAUCUGUAGACAACUGGGCUGAAGACUUCCCUCCCAAGAUCAAAACAAAACCUAAUAACACACAAACCACCAUACUAGAAGAAGACAAGGAAUGAACAAAACCCAUUCUUAGUUUAGAGUCUGGUGCUGAAAUGCGACUGUGGAUAAUUGGGUAUAAAUAGUGGUUUAUGGAGG